rnacentral:tRNA from 3 species
CAGUUGGUAGAGCACGACCUUGCCAAGGUCGGGGUCGCGAGUUCGAGUCUCGUUUCCCGCUCCA